GACGAACGCUGGCGGCGUGCUUAACACAUGCAAGUCGAACGGAAAGGCCCUGCUUGCAGGGUACUCGAGUGGCGAACGGGUGAGUAACACGCGGGUGAUCUGCCCUGCACUUCGGGAUAAGCCUGGGAAACUGUGUCUAAUACCGGAUAGGAGCCAUUUUUAGUGUGAUGGUUGGAAAGUUUUUUCGGUGUAGGAUGAGCUCGCGGCCUAUCAGCUUGUUGGUGGGGUAAUGGCCUACCAAGGCGGCGACGGGUAGGCGGCCUGGGAGGGUGGACGGCCACAUUGGGACUGGGAUACGGCCCAGACUCCGACGGGAGGCAGCAGGGGGGAAGAUUGCACAAUGGGCGCAAGCCUGAUGCAGCGACGCCGCGUGGGGGAUGACGGGCUUCGGGUUGUAAACUCCUUUCGCUAGGGACGAAGCUUUUUGUGACGGUAACUAGAUAAGAAGCACCGGCUAACUACGUG
rnacentral:rRNA from 1 species